GUUAUGUGUCGUAUGGUGGCCAUCUUGGUGUGACGUAAUCUCGAGUGUAAGCGUUACGCAAAUGUAGAAAAUCAAAUGUAGGACCCAUUUGCUUUCAUUUGAAGGCUAUUCCAAACCUAUACCCGUGAAUAAAAGUCUUUGCUAGUGUAUUUUGCAUGUGACUGAUUGAUAAAUGUUUAAGGAUCGAAAAAUAUGAUAGAUCAACCUUACAGUAUCGGGCAACAUGGCUGGAAAAAAAAGAAGCAACAAAAAAGGAUUGACAGUCGUUCAUUUUGGUGUGACCACUGUAUCCAAGAUUACACAAUGUGGCGGAAAUUUGUCUAUUAGCAGACAGAGAACUGAGAGAAAAAAAAUCUUUUGAAUCUACAAACGACACCAGAAAAACAGAAGUGGAUGAAACAUUCAAUGAGCUAUCAUCCAAUUAUCGGUGAACAACUGGUGCGAACAAAGCAGAUCAUUAACUCAAAUUGAUGUUUUUAUUUAGAAACAGCAAUUCAUGUCCCUGUCUGCUUAAUUGGCUGGUGGGAUUCUAUUGAGCUCUGUUAGUUCAAGUUGAGGAAAAAGCAUGUUGUGCAGGAUACAUGGCAUCCUGAUGUUGCAGCUUGACGGAAGAUGGAAAGCCUCUUGAGCAAUACAUUCCGGAAGCUGUGACGUGCUAUGCAAAGGAACUGUUUAAGGACAUCAUCUUUGGCUACACUUUAACAAUUUUGAUGAAGUUGUCCUCCAGGUUACACCAAAAGAUGUACCUCAAUACAUAACACAUUUCGCAGAAGCCAGCCUGCGCCAACUACUACUCAAAACAUAGAGAAUUCUGGCUACAUAAAACCAACACCUGUUCAGAAAGCUUCAGUUGCAGUUAUUCUUGCCAAAAGAGAUUUAAUUGUUUGUGAUGGUAUCUU